AACAGACAACACACACUCGCGCACAGACAUCCCCAGACAGUGCAUACUUAUGCAACAAUGUACACAAGCUUGCACAUACGCUCAUAUCACAGGAGCACCAUCCCCCCACUUUCAUAUACAGACGUUUCCAACCACGCUGUAUACACAGCGAUGAUACACACAGACGCUCAGAUCAGUGUGUGUGUGUGUGUGGGUACUAUUGGACGUUCAGCUCCCAUUAGUAACACUGUGACAUAACUCAGCAGCCAGCAGGCAUCUUGCUGCUGAGGACAAACACUACCUCUCACAGGAGACACAUAGGGUACUCUGCCAGCAUUAUCAUCUCCAUUUCUCUGUCUUUCUCUGUCUCUCCAUCUCUCCGUCAGUCCCCUCUCCUGUUACCCUCUGGUGAUAGCUCCCGCCUGGAGAGAGUGUGUAAUUAAUGUAGCUGUUCCCCUUUGUCUCAUCCCGGUCUCCCUCAGUCUCUCCUGUGAGGGAUCGUUUGCUGCGGCUGGGCUCUGUUCAUUAUGGAUGGGGCACCAUGUGAGAUUUGCGUCUGUCUCUUGGGCUGUACCUCUCUGUCUCUCCUGCUCUUUUUUUUCUCUCUCUGACCUGGUUUCGACUGCACUCAAAAUUAUAUUUCUAGUUACUGUUUUGGAAAAAAAUUCAUUUGAACCCAAUUUAAAAAAAACAAAAAACUUCUACCUAAACAAAAGAGAGUGCUUUGAUUGUGUAACAUUUUUUGUAAUGGAUGAUUUGCUUUGCAGCAUUUAAUAGACUGAACCUUCAUCAUCUCCCAUGAGAAUUUCUAUGUCUCCUUUUAUUUCUGUUACCCUGCCAUGACCAGAGUUUACGUUCCUGCACCUUCUCUGCAAGCUGGAGUUGAUAAGAUCUCUGAGAGAAAAUGGUUGGUUAAAAGGCUGAAAAGAAGGCUUUGGGGGAGGGGAAAUGUUCUGAAGCACUAGAACACAAAUCCAUGCGGACAUACAUAUUGCAAUCACGCAUACUUUUCCAUGCAGCUCAGGAAUGCCUCGUACAAUGCAGCAUGUUAAUAAUGACAUUAAUCCAAUUAGGGUCUGCUAAGGAGUCUGACCUUUCCACUGUCCACUGCGUCUUAUUCCCCUUUCCUGUUCUGCCCUUUGUCCUUUGACUCAUCCCUUCAACCCUCCACUGGCUUUUACUUCAUCCUUUCCUGUUUGUGACAUCAAUAACUGUAUCCUUGCGUAAGAGGAGAUAGUUUGCUGCAAUAUCCAGAUUAAUUGUGAUUUAUAUUCCGGACACUCAGAGGAAACAUUUGUAGGGAGGAUACUCGUUAGCAGUACAGAUUUGCUAAAGAGCGGGCACAUACACACACAAUCAAAGGCACCACUCCCCAGAGGAAGAAUAGUGCUGAAAUGAGGGUGUGGCGAUCAUUGUUGGUUUUCAAUAAGCCCGGACUGUUAAUGAGCAACAUCAUUGGCAUUCCUCGAUUUGGAGUAUCUUGCUUUGCCCUUUGAGUUUUUUAAUUUUUUAAAGCGAUAGUGUCCCUUAUUUGGUCUAGACACCUUCCCAGUAAAGUACAUUCAUGAAUAUGAACAAUGUGAAUACUGAUUUUUUUUUUUUUUUUUUUUUAAAGAACACCUUCACAGGUUUCUUACUCUUUGCUGAACAACAUGGUUAGGUAUGAUUUUUUUGACAAUUCAUUUUUCAGUCUAGUCUCUUAUUGUGAAAAGAUGAUUAACUGAAUUUUCCAGAUUGUUUUCCCAAGAAAAUUCCCUGAAGCAAAAGUGUCUUAAAAUUCCUUUAUUUUCUUAUAUAUACCUCUGAAACACUCAAACUCUUCAUAUACUGACAUACAUGACAAAGAAGAGGAGCAAACCCUUUCAUUAAAGAACAUAGAACCAACGUUUGUGACAUUUUUGCUUGGAAAAUGACUGAAACAAUAGUAUGAGGAAAAUAGUUGGCAAAUCAUUUUCCUUUGUGAUCACUUCACUAAUCUACUGAUCAUCGCUUCUCUUCAAGUUGAAUCAGAAACUUGCUUUUCAAUAAUUCCAGAGUAUUAUUUUAAUGGCUUCAUUUAAUCUUGAAUGCCACUGCAUGGUGCAACAUCUCCCCCUCCAUGUCUCUCCUAAAACGUUUAGCUCUACUAUCACUUUCCUCUACCUGUCCCUUCCUCUCCUCUGUGUGUCUUCUUCUCUCAGGUCUCUCUCGUCUCUCUCCCUGCCUCUAACCGUCUUUGACAGGAUUUAGAAAUGACUUCAGAGAAUUUCUCUCUCCCUCCUCACACAUCCUUCCAUUGUCCUGCUCUUUUCUUUCCAAAAGAAUUGCUUUUUCAUCUUCCCCUUAUUCCUCCUUUUAUUUUUGUCCCCCAACCUUCCAUGCUGUCCCUCUUUUACAUUUUAUCUCUUCUUUCCCUUCAAAUCCCCUCUGUCCUCUGUUUAACUCCUCCCCCAGUUUCCCUGCACCAGUAAGAAUAUUACAGAAUGUUCUCUUUUUUUACACCCAACCCUGUCAUCGCUAGCUUUUCUUCCUCUCUAAAAUCUCUUCAUGGUAUCCUUCUUUCAUCCCCUCUUUUUUUCCUGCUGUCUUAUACUCGUUUUUUUCCCUCACUGCACACUCACACUUCCUCCUCCCGAUUCUCAUUUCACAGUCAUUUAUGGUAACCCUUCUUCUAAGUCCUCCUCUCAACGUCAGUCCCUCUCUCACACUCUUACCAUCACCCUCCUCCCCCCUCACAGUUCCUCUACCCCUCGUCUCAUUUCCCCCUCCUCUUGAUUAGUUGACCCUUUUGACCGUUUCACACCCCUGUCUCCUCCCUCUCCUCCCUCUCCUCCCUUCUCACCCCCUUCUUUUCCUGGCUCCACUUGUUAAGCUGCAUGAUUAGUUUCUCACAAACUCAUUUUCAUAGUCAGAUCCCAGGCCCACGGUUAGGCGAGGGGUGGGCUGAGGUGUGUGUGUAUGCAUAUAUAUGUGUGUAUGUUGGGAUUGCUCUUAAUUGCAGCUGCUGGUGGAACGUCAGGCACCUCAUACAAUUUUAAUGGGGCUGUAGCAUCAGACACUCAUACAGAUGUGUUUCUCUUACAAGAGAGAAGUGACAAGUCUGAUUCUACAGAGCUCUUUUGCAGCUUCUGUCUGCCGCUCACUGAUGGGAUUUAACGCUGAUUUAACAAAGAAGAAGAAACAGAGAACUACAGAGAAACUAUACCUCACACAUGUAUACCCCGCUAGCUUCAGCAGGGGCAGUAGACUCUUAGAUUGGAAAAUAAGGAAAAAGGACAGAGGGGUUGAUAGAUAGAGCUAGAGAUGAACAGAUGGCAUUAUCAGAGUGUCCUGCGCCUUGUGUUUAAUUUGGACACAGAGAGGGAAAGAGAAGAGCAGAGGGAGCAUGAGAUGAAGUGAGGGAGCGGAAGAGACUUACAUUAUAUUAGUCACAGAGGCAGAAAUUCAGCAGCAGAAGCACAGGCCCGUCCCACUGUCGCGCGCAGAUGUUUUGGUGUAUUAGAUGUGGCACAGAGAUUCCCUCUGGGAGGCAUCCACAUGAAAGAGCUCAAGUUUUGCUACUGCACAUCAGUGUUAAUUUGGAGUUGGAAAUUGAAUUUCUCAUUCUGUUUUGCAUGCAGGGUUUGCUCGAAAUGAGAAUAAUGAGGCAAAUAUCCUCUGAGAUUUUAAAUGAUUGCUGCCAUUAAUGUAACUUUUCAGUUUUACCUUGAUGAGGCUUAUCAAGACGUAUGUACAAUUUUGCUUCAUGAGGGAAAAGGACAUAAACAAUACGGCAGCAAUAAGCAGAUGUGUUUAUAUAUUCAGUUGAUUUAGUGACAGCAGAAGAUAUGUUGAACCACUGGCUGUGAGUUGUGUCAAUACUGAGGGUUGGUUCCUGGAGGCUUAUAGCACAUCUCCGAGGUCAGAGGUCAGGGCUCAUUGCUCGAGCUCUACUCAUCACAUUCAGGUUAGCUGUUUUCAGAGCUGUAAAAGUUUCAGGAGCACCCUCAGAUGGCCAUAUCAACCGACAUUAGUUAUGGACCACCAUUAUGUAGCUCAAUAUGUUUAAAGAAUGGGUUUGAAUUGUUUGUGAUGAAAAAUAAAGAAAGCUUGCCGUGUACACAUUGACAUAGGCCUAUGCAAAUUCUUAUGGUGCAAGUAAGAUAGUACAACUAUUAAUGUUCAGAUUCAAGGAGGGAGGAAGAAAAAUAUAUAUAAUUCUAUUAAGUAACAUAUCGUCUUAAACUAUGUACAGUGAAGCCUUUUCUAUCCAGAAGGGACUCUUACAAACUGAUGGAACAGAAAGUUUCAUGCUUACAAACUGGCCAAAAAUAUACAAACACACACACACAAUUUGCAAUAAUCAUUCAUACAAAACUGUCCUUGCUUUAUCCUAAUCCCUACAAUCCAUAUUUCCUCACUCUCUCUCUCUCUAAGGCCUGUUUAGAUUUUAACCUCGUAUCCCUCUCUCCUCUCUUUUUAUCGCUCUGUCUCUCCCUAGGCUACUGCUGCUGUAUUUCCUCCCUUAUCUCCCCUCUUAUCUUUUCCUUUUGUUCUUUGCCGUUGAUAUCUCUCUCUCCAUUUAAUCUGCACUCUCUCCUCUCUGCGUUUAUAUCUCCCUUCAUCUUCGUUCUACUUCAAACACAACGUUCGCCAACACACACACACACACACACACACACACACACACACACACACACACACACACACACGUGUAUACGAUACAAACACACUCGAGCACAUCUGUUUGGUCACGCUGGCAUCCACAGAUCUCAGUGUAGGUGAAAUUAAAGUGUGAUAAGCAGCUUACCAGGUGUGUGUUGUCAUGCUCCGGUGCUCUCAAGGCAGCACUCUGCUCCCUGUUCUUUGAUUAGAGCCAAACUGAAGCCAACAGAUACACACACACACGUACACACACACUUAAAUACACACAUUGUACUCCCCAUGAUGCACGUGAUGCCUAAUAAAUUAUUAAAAAGGUAUAGAGAAGCGCCACAGAACAAUCAGUUAAGAAUAAAUGUAGUAGCAGAAGAUCGAUACACUUAUGAAAAACAUGAUAAAGGUUUGUUGAAGUGAUAUUUAUUAAAUGCAUAAGGUACGACAGUGUUCUUAAGGUGAUUAAUUGGCUAUUGCAAGGUUAUGCAAACAAGACAACUAUCGUUAUGUAUUUUAUUGACCCCGGACUUUAGAGAGAAACGGUGGAUUUGUUAUUCAUGUCACAGGCUGAAAGGGCUCUGUUUAUUUACAUGCACAGUAUGUACUCACAUGGACUCAGCUGGCUACUUGCAUGGGGCAAGUAGCUUUAGUCAAUUCAUACUGUGUCAAAUCAUGGGUAGGGUAAUGUAAGUACAGGCUAUGGCAGAUCCUUUAGCCCUACAGUCACCCUACAAAGUGAAUAAUGGAGCUACUUUCAAAAGCUAUAUGUGUUUUUCUAAUAUUCUGAACAGAAAUAUAUAUUUUUUUUAGAUUUCUAGGAGAAAUUAAUUUUGUUAAACAACCCCUCUGUCUCAGUAAAAUACUCUCACAGUAUUUGGCAACAUGAUAGCCUUUUGUCUGAGGUUUGGAAUAUACUGUCAUUCUAUAUCAUUGGUGUAGCUUGUAGUGGGUCAUCUUUGUGAUAGAGAAUCUUUGUCACUAGGCCAAAUCAAUCAAUCAACAUUUACUUAUACUCAAAGGAGAUCAUUAAGGGGGGCAACACUCAUUUACAACAAUAUUGAGUUACAGAAUCAAUUUAAAAACUGACAAAAAAAUGAAUAUAAAAAAUCUUCAUUGUUCAAAUAAGCAUCCCUAACAUCUGUAAAACAAUUUGGCUUGUUUUUGUUGGCAUGUCUGUGGUGUUCAAACUGGGUAAGUCCACACCAUCUAUUCAUGUGUCUGUCAUCCAGUAUAUGUUGUUGAUGUUUAUCAGAGCCACUUCAGACUUGUUAAUGUGUGUGUGUGUUGUGUAUGUUCAGAGUGGGUUUCCAUGUGGAAUCUAAGAUGCCUGGCAGGCAGUCUCCCUGUGGGGCAAAGCUAUGAUGAGCAAUUAUCCACUAGGGCGACUUAGUAGGCUAAUUUAGCAUAUUUAUGUGGUCAGCAGCGCUGUUUACUAUUCCCCUUCACUGCUUACUGCUGCACUUUCAAUUUAGAACAGACCCCAGCUCCCUCUCUCAUUCUCUCUCUCUCUCUCUCUCUCUUUCAUUUCCUCUCCAUCUCUUCCUCCUCUGCCAUCCCUCUGCCUCUAUCUCUCCUCGCCUGAUGGGGUUUGUGAUGUGUAUCGCCACCACCCCUCCCUCAUGCUGUUUCUCUAUUUUUAUCCUCGCUGUGUGUGGGAUGGGAGAGGGACAGGUGUAGAAUCAAGUGUGUGUGCCUGUAUGUGUGUGUGCCAGCAGAAGAUAGAAAGACAGGGUGCCAAAAAGAGAGAGACAGAGGGGAUAUGCAGAGUAGAGGGCUGUUAGUGUUGGGUUGUGUACAGCUUAGGCUAAUGGGGAUUUAGCAUGUUUGUUUUUAAACAAAAGUCUUUGCUUUAUGGGAGUGUGCGUAUUUGUGCUUGCCAUCUAAGUGUGUUCUUGUAUGUGGAUGCACAUAUGAGUGCAUUUUGUGCAUGCAACAUGCACAGAGAAAGAGGGCCUGCCUCAUAUUUCACCACAAAAUUGAGGCAGAAUCUAAUCAUAGCCUCAUAAAAGCCUGACCCUGGAGAGCGCCUGCCUCUUUAAGCCCUGACACGAACACACAGACACAUGCACACACACAGUGGGACAUUUUGUGUCUUUGCCAGUUUGAAAAUUAUGUUUGUGUGGACGCAUGAUUACCAGGUUAUGUGAUUGUUCGAUGCCAAAUCUGCAUCUCUGUGAUGCAGAGCUCUGAAGUCUCACAAAGUUGAGUGGAGUCCAUCUCUCAUACCAUCUGUUUUGUAAAUCCAGCCAGCUACAGAAAUCUGCAGGGCACAGUUUCCACAUUCAUACAAUGGAAUAGCUGUUUAGUUUUAAUUAUCAGUCAUCAUGAUGGCAUCUGAUGCUGGGUCGACAUGUGCAACUUAAAGCUGGCUUCAAACCUGGAGUGAGGCACAGCAUGGGCAGCUUUAGUGUGCCCAUUUACAGUAAAUCCUGGAUUCACACAUGGCUUACUGCAAGCUGCACACUUAAGGUGAUGAAACUGGAAAUCAAGGCAUGCCCAGUGAAAAUAACAUUCACAUUUGAAUUAAAUCCUGUACAAAUAGUUGUAUUUCAUUUAUAAUUGUAAACACACAAGGGUUGUGUCUUUACGGAUUUAAAAUAAAAACAUCAUUAACUUACCUUAACAGCUGCCCAGAUCUCAGCAAGGUGGGGCUUUGAAUACAUAUAUGCAGAUUAAGAUCAAAAUCUACAGUAGGUUGAAUAGCAUUGCCGAUGAACCAGUGAGGAGAAUAGAACGCAGAUUACAGUCAGAAGUUGAUGCCUUGAUUCCAAUGACUAAUAGACCUAAAGUAUUUAAUUUAUUUUCAAAGCUUUAUCAUUUAGUUUCUGGAAUAAAUGUUACUGUUUGCAGAUAACACAUAAUGCUGUGUAAACUGGCUGUGACUCAACGUACAGGACCUUGAUUUUAAGUUGAACAAUUGUGCACCAUGUGUUGUCAUGUUUCAUACAAUUGAACUAAAAUCUUCAGCCUGCCAUCCAGACACCUAGUCUCAGCAUGCAAAUGUAUACGUCUGCCUGCACUAAGUUGUACAUACAGAGCAGGGCCCAAACUCAAAGAGUGUGUGAAUGAAAGGGGGUUAAGAGUACUGAUGGAGGAGGGCCAUGAAGAGGUUUGGCAUGAAUAGGGCUGUACAGACAGGGAGGGGGCAGGGUGAGACAGGGGAGGAGCAGAGGAGGUCGGGUUAGAGAGAAGGAGGAAACAAGACAAAAGUUUGCCAUAAUGAGCGUGGAGGAAGGGGCAGGCGGGUGGUGUGUGGAAGAAAGGGCUUUUUCUGGGUGGUGGAGAAGUGGGAGGGAGUCAGGGCGCACUUCUGUCAGUUUAAACAGAGACAUCUGUCAGAGGGGGCCUCUGGUGUGUGUCUGCAUAUGUGUGUGUGUGUGUGUGUGUGUGUGUGUGUGUGUGUGUGUGUGUGUGUGUGUGUGUGUGAUUAGGCAGGCAAGGGGAUGUUAGGUCUUUAGCUGCACCUGGGGUGUGACCUCUGCACUGAGUUCUCCUCUCUAACCACACUUCAACCUGCUGUCUUUAAAUAUCAGCCUUUUCACACUGACCACAGGGCAUAGCUGGAGCUUUAUAACGCCAAAUUACACCGUUGUAGAUCCCCACACUUAACAAUGCUCCAUCCAAGAGUGGGAGAAGAUAGAAGAAAAGGACCACAGGCCCUGUGUAGCUCCUUUCUGUUCGGUUUAUUAAGGACUGAUUCAAGUUUUUUUAAUUUAACAAUUUAACAUGAAUGUAGGUUUAUGCAGAGUAAAAUGAAAUGAUUUAGGUUCUUAUUACGUUACUUUUCUUAGUUCAUGUUGAUUUUAUGAGCUUUUGCAGAUUGUAUUUAUUUCUGUCUUGUGUGUAUGGUUUAUUAGAUUUAAAGAGUUGAUCAGUGCUUGAUCACAUUUUCCACUCCAUAGAAAAUACAAAUAAUGCGAAUAAAGAUUAAAAACCAACAAAACAAGAGUUUGGUGAGGCCAACAGCAGGUAGAUUAAACAACUUUUACGAGACAAGCUUAGCAUUUCUUGGAUGGCUUAAGGUGUUAGAGCAAUCUUAAAAUACUGUCUUGGAUCCGAUCAGCUAAAUAUUAACACCUUAGUAAGUGACCACAGCCUAACAGUCAACAUACUAAAAACUGUUAGUAUCACUUAGUUCUAUUGAAGAUACACCUCUAAAAUAGUUAUUAAGUUAUGUGUGCACAAAAUAAUUAAAGUCAAUAUUAGGUUCUUUUAACUUAGUUUCCAGCAAGCCUUUAUAUGAAAUUGCGGGUGAUUUGCAUAUUUUUUUAGGAAAUCCUUCCUAACACUGUAACUAUCUGAGCAUCCAAAAAUGUGCCACUGGCAGUGUAUUGAAUGUAAUCUCACUGAAUAUGUGAUUUUUGCAAUCAUGAAUUUGUAUGGAUUUGAGCAGCCUUUUUAAUUCACCAGCUCAUUUCCCAAAGGACUUACACUCCCUAAAAUAGAAAGAAGGUCCAAGUGCAUAGGUCUAACAGUUAUCCGCUAUAGUGCUGCUGGAUUAUGUUGGACUAAAUCCAGAGGAUCAAAUUUCAGGGAGUGCUCCACCGCUGCAUGCAGAAUGCUCUCAUUGGGGUUUGACAAAAACAGCAUAAUAUUAUAGGGAUCAACAAGGUAGUUAGUUCUGCUUUAUGCACGAUUUGAUGCCAUUACUAUGCAGAGUGAUAAAGACAGACAGUAAGUGAGAGAGAGGAGGGAAUGUGUUGGUAAUCCAUGCUCCAGUAGAGAGGCUGAUGAAGGGUUAACUGUCAGAUAAUGUAUUGAGUGGAGGAGAAGGAGGGCAGACUUCUCAGGUGUGAAGAAUCGAAUGAGAGAGACAGCGGAGGGAGGGAUCAGAGCAGGGGGAUGGGCUGCUCAGGAGCCUGUAUUAUGGUUGCAGGCCCCCGUUACCAGGCAACCAAGCAGAGUGAGAUGCCAGGUUGCUAGGUAACCCGGGGGAUGCAAAGCCCAGCUAGAGUGAUAAAGAGAGACACGAGAUAGAGAAGAGGUGGGGUGGAGAUGUGCUGCUGGGCUGCUCCACCUUCCCGCUCACUCUCUCUCUGUUUGUCACACGUCAGGGUCUUCAUCCAGCUGUGGAUCAGAAACCUAAUGCAGUUUCAUCAGUGAGCCAGGGGUUGCAUGCUUCAAUUUCAAGCCAGGUUUACUGAAUGAAAAACACACAAAAGCACAGCAAGACCUUUGUGGAUUAUUGUUACACGAAUGAUUCAAGCAAUAAGUUGAUAUAAAGAUGAAACGUUUAUAAUAUUACUCUGGUUAUCUGGUUAUUACAACUGGAUACUGUUGUGGGUAUGAAGACGUACUGCUACUGAUGAUUAUUUUCAUUUGUGCCAAUUUUAUUCUGGAUCAGUUUAUUUAUUGUUUGCUUUAUAACCAAUGGUAAUCAAUUUGAUCAAUUGAUAAAUUGAAUAGUACACAGUCAAUGUUGCUUCCAAAUGACAAAUUGAAAAGCUCUUGGUUUGUCUAACAUACAGUCCAAACCGCAACAAGAUUAAUGUAUCCUUCAUUUAAACCUAAAAAAAUUUGAAUCCAAGAUUUGGGAUUUUCAUUUAGUUUAAGAAACAAUUUAUUACCACAGCAGGUACUGUUUGCUUUUUCACUUAACUUAUUGAUUAGCUGAUAGUGUUACAGCUGACUGACAGGGAUCACAUCUGUUUUGAAUAAAAGUAAUGAGAAUUAAAGUAUUUGACAAACUGUUUUUUUUAGUUAAUUUCUUCUGUUUUAUACUUUUAGACUACUAGGCUUGUAUUUUCCACUUUUUUUUGUUAAUUGUUUAGCUAAAUAGAGGGAAAUUCAAUAUAUGUGAAAACGUAUUUAACAAUAAAUGUGAUCAUAACUACAAGAUCAUCAUAUCCAUACCACAUUUGAUUGUUUGCCAAAACUGUCUUCUGAAAACAACAGCAGUCAUAGCAUGAAUAUAAACACAUCAUGACAUCAACAUCACAGCUAUUCAAUCAAAUGUAUUUUAAUAUUGUUAUUCAAAGUAUUGCUCUGGUCUAAAUGUCAUACAGCCGUUUGACAUUUACACGAGAGGGUUUUAGUAAUGGAAUGGAAACAAUAGACCUCUUUCUAUUUAUAAUUUUAACAAUGAAUUUGUAUUAAUCUGCAUCAUAAGUCAGUUCUGAAGCAGUAUUAUGCCUCUUUCAAAGUAAAUGGUCAAUAGUAGUACUAAUAGCAUCAGAACUGCUAUUAAGAUAUUUUUUGUUCACUACACUAACAAAUAUGAAUUUGUAACUGCAGCAAUGACCGAGGAAAAUAUGAGAAGUAGAGUAGAAGAGACUCGAAAAAAAUAAGUGAAUAAAAGAGAGGAGGGAACGGAUGGAAAAAGAUAAAGAAGAGAGGCUCAUGUCAUCAUCAGGAAGGGGGGGGGGGGAGAUUAUGAAGUUGAGAGUUAAAAGAGGUUGAAUUGAGGAUGGGGGAGAGAAAGAGGGAAAAAAUAGUGUUUGAUGCUGGAGAAGGGAUAUAAAUAGUUUUCUCCUCUUAUGCAUGCUGGAAAAUGGACAUCUGAAAUUGUGUGGAUGGAGUACUCCAGAGGGAGAUUGAAGGGGGAAGGGUGUGUGUGUGUGUGUGUGUUUGGAAAAGAGAUAAGAAGAGAGAGUGUUUGUGUGACUGUACAUACACACACAAUAACACACCAUUGUCUGUUGUCACGCUGUAAUCACUUUUAUAUUUCGGUUUGCGUGAACAUUUGUGAGUUUUUCCCUCCAGUGUUUUGAUGUCAUCAAAAAGGGAUCAAAAGACCAAAAAGAUAACAUUGAUUUAGCACUGUACUUUAAUCCUUGUUCCGGAUUGUGCACGUACACACGCAUUGACAUACGCACACUUCCCCCUACCCUCAUAAUGUGGCGCAAUGGUUUGUUCCACUGAUUUUGUGUAGGUGGGGGAGGGGGGAGAAUACGAUUUGAUUGGAUAAUCCAAGGAUUUAAUAUCCCCUAAUCCUGGCACAAUCCUCUCUGCUUUACUGCAGGGAGCAAGAUUAACUGUGUGUGUAGUAUGUGUUUGUUUCUGUGUGCGUGAAAAGGGCGGGCAAGGUGCUCCGGGAGUGAAGAAAAGUGUGGGGAAUUCUGUGUGUGUUUGUAUGCGAGUGACAUGUACUGUAUCUGUGUUGGAACCACAGCAUGCAAAUGGAGCUUUGUUUGCAUGCAGGGUUUGGUCAGGCGUGAGUAUGAGUGGAUGUGCCUCAGCAGAGUGGCAAUAGUUAUGCAGACACGCACAUGAUCAUAUAUCACAUAUCUGGCCCUCAUGCAUUGCCACACUGCUGCUGCUCACAUACGAAUCCUUGGUCCUCAGAGAGACACAAACUCUCAGUAAGGGCUUCUUAGUAUGCAGCAGGACAGAUCAAACCUCACUACAGUAUGAAUCCUGCUCCUUGUACGAGCGCACGUUUGCAGAUGGUUACUGUUGAUUAAGUCUUAAUUGGAACGUGAGUAAUUAGAGGAUAAUUUGACUUGAAAGGAGCGUGUGGCUGUUCAUGUGUGCUGGAGUUAAGACGGAGAGAGAAAGACAGAGUGGAGUACAGUGUGACUGACUAGCAGUGACUGUACUUUAUUUGCAUUUUUCUCUCAGGCUCAAGGGAAUUUUAAUUACUCUACUGUAAUAUAGAUUCAGUUCCCUCACCUUCUCCCCCUCUAUCUCUUCGCUCUGAGCCAAAUCACAUUUAUUUCUCCCUUCCCACAUCUUAUUCUCAUACGUUUUCUGUCCUCUUUUUUUGGUUCUCUUACAUUUUUACUCAUUUGUCCCUCAAGAUAAAGUUGGUUAUAGGAAAAAAUAAUGAAGAGGAAAUCAUGCAGCCAGCAAAGCACUCCUUCAACAUAAAUUCUUUGUUUACCCGAAGAGCAUAGCAGUUGCCCUCGGCAACAAGCAUCCUUGUUUACCUACCCAGUGUGCCGUCAUAUGAUCGCCAUGACAACGAGCUGGUUGCCAUGCCAUUUUUCCGAUGCCAUUGUGUUGUCUUUGCUGUGGCAGUGUGCACCUCUCACCUGCUGUCUUGUGUUCAGAUUCUCUGCUGUUUUUAUACCAUCUUCCUCCAUCUCAUUACAGGAAUUUUAUAAAACUUGGCACAUACACAUACACACACACACAUUCUUAGAAACAAACUGAUAAGCUUGGAUUGAUAAGCCGUAGUUGGCAAUCAUUAGAUGGCUCUGCUCAGCCUGUUUUACGAUCACAGGGGUGAGCUUGAAUAGGCCUAAUGAGAGGAGAAAUGGAAGAGGUGAUGGAUGGAUGGAAGGAUAGAGAAAGGGUUAGUGGACACAAAUCUCGCUACAAUCAGCCUGCGCUACAACACAGCCCCAAAUCAAUGAACAAGAUGGGACUGAUCGAUGAGUUGAUAGCACAAGAUGGAUGGCCAUAUGGAUGGACAGCAUUAGCCCCAGGUCUGGGAUAUGAUGGGUGGAUGGACGAGUGGAUGGAUGAGUGGAUGGAUAAGUGGAUGGAUGGAUGGAUGGAUGGAUGGAUGGAUGGUUGGGUGGAUGGAUGGAUGGGUGGGUGGAUGGGUGGAUGGGAGGACAUUAUAAAAAGGGCAGUGUGUUUAUUAUUUGUAAGUUUAUGUUUAUGCAACAGCUCAAGUCAUUAAAGAUGUGUUGUUAAAAAUGUGCAUCACUCCUUCCUCUGCAGAACCUGUGCGUUCGUGUGUGUUUGUGUCAGACCUGAUUUUAUCGGUGUGGGUUUGCACCUCGUACUGUGUGUGUGUGUAUGUGCUGGCCUUGCCUUAGAUCAAUAGCUCUGUGGUGACAGCUAAGAGCUGAUUAAUCAAAUGUAUGGACCAGUCCCUCUCUGCUCUGCCCUCUCCUCAAUUACCAGCUUCAUUACAUUGCCUUAACACCCCGCUGGGACCUUUCUCCAUUCUUCCUUCUCAUCCCCUCCCUCUUCCCUUUCCCCUUCCAUCAUCCUGUGUUCUUUCAUCUGAGUUUUUCUCCUCUCUAUCUUUGAAUAACUCAGAAUACCUCUUAUUCCCCUACAUUGUUACAAUCACUUUCUGGCUGGCAGUGGAACAAAGAAAUAAUUGAUACAUUUUCUUUUUCACUGCAGUACAGAUUAUAACUUGAACAAUGUUUGUUCAGAAAAAAAAAGAUAGUU